rnacentral:lncRNA from 1 species
UUCUACUUUCAAUGGACUCCAGAGGACAAACAUCUAUUCUUUACUCUCACCACCAAUGUGGUUACUCAUGCAGGAGAUACAGAGCCAUGGCUUCCCUCCAGAGGUAGAUGAGCAGGAUGUUGGCAUUCUUCCCAUUUCUUGCCUCCAGGAGAGCAGGAAGGACCCUCACCCUACAGCCUGUGCCUCUGCUACUCUCAAUGUGUAAAUGCCAUUCUUGUAGCUCUUUCCUGCCUGUUUAGUUUGAAUUCAGGCAUUUGGGGGGAUCAUUUGACUAAUUUACUGCUGGUUUGGAAUCUCUUUGUAAGAGUAGGGUUGGCACCAAUGCUGUAUGGAAAGCUAGGAGAUGGGGGUCACACUUAAAUGUUUAAAGUUUCCAUAGGAACACAGUGUUUUAUAUGGACUUUUAUUUACUUUUCAGACAUAUGAUUGAGUGCCCCCCAGCUGCUGAGCAAGCAUUUGUAGCUUGUUCAUUGGCAGAAUGUACCAAAAGCUUAUGUUGUGACCUGUUGUUGUAAAAAUAUAUAUAAAAAAAAAAAGUAUAA